AGUGGGAUAGCUGGGUCAAAUGAUGGUUCCAGUGUUUUCCAAGGAAUCUCUAUACUGCUUUCCAUAUUGGCUGUAGCAAUUUGUAGUCCCACCAGCAAU
rnacentral:pre_miRNA from 1 species